UUCACACGCCGCACACCCACAAUCGUUUUCUCCCUCUCUCCUCUCUCUCGCCAGAUCCAAUCCAGCGUCUCACGUCUUCUCUCUUCCUGGGCAAAACACAGCUCUGCCCUUCUCUUCGUUCACUACCGUCGCUGACGCCCUCCGCCGCCUCUCUCCCUCUCUUCGUGCACCACCGUCGCCAACGCCCUCCACCGCUCCGUGCCCUCUCUUCGUCCACCGCCGUCGCCGACGCCGUCGCCGCCAUCAAAUCGUCGAGCAAGGACGCUUUGCCCAAGUUUCCGACUCCGAUCUCUUCGUCUAUUACUACAGGCCCUGCGGCUCCUAUGUCCUUUCACCGGUAAUUUUAUUUAACCUUAAACUCCCAUUUUUUUUCUAUUACAUGAAUCGUUUUCAUCUUUUGACUUUCAACUCCACUUUUGAAUAAAUUUGUUCGAUUGUGGAUGUUCCAUAUUUUUUUUAUUUGUUUGUUUGAGUUGUUAUUCGACUCUAAUUCUUCGACUCAAUUGAUAUUUGUUUCGUGUUUCAUCGAGUUAUUUGUAUGUGUGUUUUUUAGUGGGUAAUGUUGAUUAUUGUUUCAAUAAUGUUGAUUACUGUUUCAAUAAUGUUGAUUACUGUUUCAAUACUGAUUAAUGUUGAUUACCGAUUAGAGUCUAAUAUAAAAGUGAACAAUAAUAAGUUGAUUACCCACUCUAGCAUAAAUAUGUUAUAGUGAUUUAUCCCCACUCUUCUACCUCUAUUGAAAGACACGGACUCUCAACACUUGAAUUUGGUAAAUACCAUUGAACAUGUUCUUGGAGCCUUUAUGGCUUACAACAACCCAACUGUUGCUCUUUUUCGAGAUUUGGGUGGUCUAAAUGAUAUCAUAUCACACCUAAUGCUAGACACCUCGUGUAUGGUUCCGUAUAUUUUGAAUAUAUAUGAAGAUUUAACUAUAGAUAAUUAUAGUCAUAUAUAGUCACAUGUAGUCACAUGUAGUAAGAUAUAGUAAUAUAUAGUGACAUGUAGUAACAUAUGCACACGAUUGUGUAUUUCCUCUGCAUUUGUUGGUUGUGAGUUGAUUUAUAAUAUAAAUAUUUAAAUUGAACUUGAUUUUUUGUCACAGGUUUUGUGUUUGCACAACUUAUAUGCACCAAGUUUUUGCCGAGAGGACACGGUGUUCUUCAAUUCGAAACAACUUUUUUGCAUUCGAUAGAUCGGAGCUGUUGUCGGGUUGAAAUGUGGGAUUUGAAGAUAUAAAUCCAAAUUACACUAUAUACGACUAUACUCGUAUUUACUCAAAAAUAAGAAAAAGACUAUACUCAUAUAGUUAGUCAUAUGUAGUUAUAUAUAGUCACAUAUGGUCAUAUACAUGUAGUCAUAUGUAGUUAUAUAUAGUCACAUAUAGUCAUAUACAUGUAGUCAUAUGUAGUUAUAUAUAGUCACAUAUGGUCAUAUACAUGUAGUCAUAUGUAGUUAUAUAUAGUCACAUAUGGUCAUAUACAUGUAGUCAUAUGUAGUUAUAUAUAGUCACAUAUGGUCAUAUACAUGUAGUCAUAUAUAGUCACG
rnacentral:lncRNA from 1 species